rnacentral:rRNA from 1 species
AUGCCUGAAGAGAAGCCAGAUAACACAUAUUGGACGAUUCACUUUGAUGGGUCCAUGCAAUUGGAAGGCUCGGGGUCUGGAGUUGUCUUAGCUUCCCCUCGAGGUGACAAGUUUUGUUGUGUUCUAAGGUUGAUGUUUCCUUGUACUAACAAUGCAGCUGAGUAUGAAGCCUUGCUCCAUGGUCUUCGGAUGGCUAAGGAGAUGAACUUAAGCCGGGUGAGGUGUUUUGGCGAUUCAGACUUGGCUGCUCAGCAAGUUUCAGGCGGGAUUCUAAAGACCCGCUCAUGGCGGCUUACCGCCGUGAGGUUGAUGCUAUUGCUGGGCACCUCAAGGGUUAUCAGGUGGAACACAUUGAUCGCAGGAAGAAUGAGGCAGCUGAUUCUUUGA